GAGGAAACACUUUGACAUAUUCUGACAGAUAAAUAAUAAAAGACAAAGAUAAAAAAGAAGAAGAAGAAAAACUUGCAAGACCAACAAAAAAGGAGAGGAGUCCGGACAUUAUAAAUAGAGGAGACACCUAGAUAUAUUCUGACAUAAAAAAAUAAAAAACAGAGACAAAAAUAAAGAAAAAAAAGAAAAAAAAAACUCUUGCAAGACCAA
rnacentral:lncRNA from 1 species